rnacentral:tRNA from 1 species
GGCCUGGUGGCGAAGUGGUAACGCUGAAGUCUGCAAAACUUCCAUGCGGGGGUUCAAUUCCCCCCCAGGCCU